AUUGAACGCUGGCGGAAUGCUUUACACAUGCAAGUCGAACGGCAGCACGGGGCAACCUGGUGGCGAGUGGCGAACGGGUGAGUAAUACAUCGGAACGUGCCCAAUCGUGGGGGAUAACGUAGCGAAAGUUACGCUAAUACCGCAUACGAUCUACGGAUGAAAGCGGGGGAUCGCAAGACCUCGCGCGAUUGGAGCGGCCGAUGUCAGAUUAGGUAGUUGGUGGGGUAAAGGCUCACCAAGCCGACGAUCUGUAGCUGGUCUGAGAGGACGACCAGCCACACUGGGACUGAGACACGGCCCAGACUCCUACGGGAGGCAGCAGUGGGGAAUUUUGGACAAUGGGCGCAAGCCUGAUCCAGCCAUGCCGCGUGAGUGAAGAAGGCCUC
rnacentral:rRNA from 1 species